GACGAACGCUGGCGGCGUGCUUAACACAUGCAAGUCGAACGAAGUUGCGAACGGGUGAGUAACGCGUAAUCAACCUGCCCUUCAGAGGGGGACAACAGUUGGAAACGACGGCUAAUCCCGCAUAAUGAAGGAGGGGCAUGCGUCUGAGUAGCUAGUUGGAGGGGUAACGGUCAACCUAGGCGAUGAUUAUUAGCCGGGCGUAGGUGAUUAACGGCUACAUUGGCGCUGGUACACGGCCCAGACUCCUACGGGAGUCAGCAGUGGGGAAUCUUCCGCCAGGGACGAAAGUCUUACGGAGCAACGCGGCGUGAUUGAUGACGUCCUUCGGGUUGUAAAGCUCUGUUAUUCGGGACGCGGUAUCGGAAUAGUAAGCCACGGCUAACUCCGUGACAGCAGCCGCGGUAAUAC
rnacentral:rRNA from 1 species